CCUACGGGUGGCAGCAGUAGGGAAUAUUGCUCAAUGGGGGAAACCCUGAAGCAGCAACGCCGCGUGGAGGAUGAAGGUAUUAGGAUUGUAAACCCUUUUUUUUAGAGAAGAUAAUGACGGUAUCUCUCGAAUAAGCACCGGCUAACUCGGUGCCAGCCGCCGUGGCAAUACGGAGGGUGCAAGCGUUACUCGGAAUCACUGGGCGUAAAGGGUGCGCAGGCGGGUUUGUAAGUCAGAUGGGAAAUCCUUUAGCUUAACUACAGAACUGCAUUUGAAACUAUGAGUCUAGAGUGUGGGAGAGGUAGGUGGAAUGCGUGGUGUAGGGGUAAAAUCCGUAGAUAUCAAGAGGAAUACUCAUUGCGAAGGCGACCUACUGGAACAUUACUGACGCUCAUGCACGAAAGCGUGGGGAGCAAACAGGAUUAGAUACCCGAGUAGUC
rnacentral:rRNA from 1 species